AGAUUUUUAGUUGUUUCAAUUUAUAAUUUGCAUUUAUAAGAAAUAUUAUAUAAAUAUAAAAUCUU
rnacentral:tRNA from 1 species